GGCCUAAACUCUGCGGUUUUUGCUGUUGGGCAUGGCCUGAAAUCUCGUUGAAAAUACUAAACUCCACGUUUAGCGACUUUUCAACGAGUCAUAUCGGGAAACCGGUAUGGGGCGGCAACGCCC
rnacentral:sRNA from 12 species